CGCGCCACAGAGAACCUUGAGAGUAAUGAGUGAUGGCUCUUCAAGAGAUCAGUGUGAUGUUCACACACAGACCCUCGGCCUUCUCUGCUGCUGUGCUGCUUCUAACACUCGUCCUCUGCAGAGGAUCAUUUGUAGUGGAUGUGACACAGAGCUCCUAUCAGGCAGAGGAGAACCACAACAUCACACUGGAGUGGACGUUCACCACCAAACCAGACACAUCCAUCUCACCACUGAAGAUCCUCUGUUACAUGAAUACUGAUCAUAAAGACUCAACUCUGUAUUACCUUUUUGAUGGUGUCGAGUUCUCAAAGCAUCAGGAUGAAAAGUUUUCAGGACGAGUCCAGAGUGACAAAGAUGCCCUCAGAGAAGGACGAAUCAGACUCCAGCUGUCCAGACUCAGGACUGAGGACUCGGGUCUGUACCUGUGUGAGGUGGACACAGGU